rnacentral:lncRNA from 1 species
UCCCUGUCCUGCACUGCAAAGGAGGCCUUUUCAUCCUCUCUACUGCCUCCAAUUUUUCUCACGAGGAAUGUGAGAGGAAAACCUAGAGCUUGUUCCUGAAGCAUGGUGCUAAGUCCAUAUGCAGCAGAUGGAGCUCAUGAGAAAAGAGUUGCUCUUGUGAAGACCAAAGCUUGGUGAGGUGUCAGAUCCCCGGCGAUGGAAAGCAGUCAACUCAUGGGUAGUAAAAAGAAUGUAUUGACAACACUAUAGGUUUGAAAAGGAAAGUUUUAUUAGAUGGAAAGAACAGUGCAGAAGACCGCAGCAGAGGACCUCAGCAAGAGAGAACUAAAAAUGGUCAAUUACAAAGCACAACAUAAGACUGGAACAUUGGAGUUAAGUAGCAGAGAUCAAAAAAAAAGCAUUCCCAGAAGCACGGAGAAGUGAGGAGAAAAGGCAAUGCACCUGGAGCUGGAGACCAAGGCCCUGUUCUUACUGAUGGCCCUUGGAGCAGAUAUUUGAAUUGGAGAGAUAAAACCGUGGUUUUUGGGGUGUUAAUUUUGGUGGCUGAUGCAUUCUGUGAUUGAUUUGGCUAUUACAACUGGUAUUGAUUUUAAACACAUUAAUUGCAAAAUCUCAAUUGUGAUUUGAUUUCUGUAUUUACAAUACUAAAAACGAGGCUUUCGCCAGGAGAAGACAAUUGGCAGUACUCAGUUGGAAGUGCUUAAUUGUUAAUAUAUAUCAGCCGUGGUUCUUCAGCGUCGUCAGUGUUGCUCAGUCUUGCUCUUUGUGGCGACUACUGAAUGCUUGAAAAAUUCUCUCCUAUACUCCCACUCUGCACUGUAGAAGAGAAAGAGAGGAGAGUGGAAGAAAAAAGAGAGGGAGAGGAGAAAGAAAGAGAGGAGAGAGAAACAUGGGCAUGGAUGAUACAUAAGGUAGUUGUAAACUGUGAUCAGCUUUGAUAAUAACUAGAUAAAUUCUUUUAAUACAAAAAUAUAUAAGGCAUUUUGCCUUUUUUUCAAAUUUCAAAUAAAUGGAUUUGUAUAGAAUGUAGUCUGUUGCCCAGAGUUUUCAUUUAGCAUAAUGCAUUUGAGAUUUAUCCAUGUUGUUGUAUAUUCUUUUUAUUGCUGAGUAGUAUUCCAUUGUGUGGAUAUACCAGUUUGUUUAUCCAUUAACCUUUGAUGGAUAUUUGGGUUUUUUUCAAUAUGAGGCUCUUAUAAAUAAACCUUCUGUAAUCAGG